rnacentral:rRNA from 1 species
UGUAAGCGUAUACCAAAGUUGUUGCAGUUAAAACGCUCGUAGUCGGAAUUUGGCAGUUCCGGAUGUGUGCACGUCGUGUGCGCACUUCGCGGGGAUUGCUUUUGUGGUCUUGCGUAGGAUGAGGCACUUUUAUUAGUGAACGUCCUCACGCAACCACUUUUUACUGUUAGAAAAUCAGAGUGCUCAAAGCAGGCAUUUGCCGUGAAUGUAUUAGCAUGGAAUAAUAGAAUAGGACUUGGUUCUAUUUUGUUGGUUUGUUGGGACUGAGUAAUGAUUAAGAGGGACAGUUGGGGGCAUUUGUAUUUCGGUGCUAGAGGUGAAAUUCUUAGAUUACCGAAAGACAAACUGCUGCGAAAGCGUCUGCCAAGGAUGUUUUCAUUGA